rnacentral:rRNA from 1 species
UACGGGGGGGGCAAGCGUUGUUCGGAAUUACUGGGCGUAAAGGGCUCGUAGGCGGCCAACUAAGUCAGACGUGAAAUCCCUAGGCUCAACCUAGGAACUGCGUCUGAUACUGGAUGGCUUGAAUCCGGGAGAGGGAUGCAGAAUUCCAGGUGUAGCGGUGAAAUGCGUAGAUAUCUGGAGGAAUACCGGUGGCGAAGGCGGCAUCCUGGCCCGGCAUUGACGCUGAGGAGCGAAAGCCAGGGGAGCAAACGGG